rnacentral:rRNA from 1 species
AUUGAACGCUGGCGGCAGGCUUAACACAUGCAAGUCGAGCGAGCGGCGGACGGGUGAGUAAUGUCUGGGAAACUGCCCGAUGGAGGGGGAUAACUACUGGAAACGGUAGCUAAUACCGCAUACCAUCAGAGUUGCCCAGAUGGGAUUGGCUAGUAGGUGGGGUAAUGGCUCACCUAGGCGACGAUCACUAGCUGGUCUGAGAGGAUGACCAGCCACACGGGAAGUGAGACACGGCCCAUACUCCUACGGUAGGCAGAAGUGGGGAUUAUUGCACAAUGGGCGAAAGCCUGAUGCAGCCAUGCCGCUUGUGUGAAGAAGGCCUUCGGGUUGUAAAGCACUUUCAGCGAGGAGGCGUUACUCGCAGAGGAAGCAACGGCUAACUCCGUGCCAGCCGCCGCGGUAAUUC